CCCCUGGUGGCUCAGAAGGUAAAGAGUCUGCCUGCAAUGCAGGAGACCUGGGUUCGAUCCCUGGGUCGGGGAA
rfam:TPA: Bos taurus chromosome X, whole genome shotgun sequence.